rnacentral:snRNA from 1 species
GUGCUCACUUUGGUAGCACAUAUACUAAAUUGGAAUGAUACAAAGAUUAGCAUGGCCCCUGCACAAGGAUGACAUGCAAAUUUGUGAAAUGUUCCAUGUUUUU